rnacentral:rRNA from 1 species
UACAGAGGUCUCAAGCGUUGUUCGGAUUCAUUGGGCGUAAAGGGUGCGUAGGCGGCGCGGUAAGUCGGGUGUGAAAUCUCGGAGCUUAACUCGAAACUGCAUUCGAUACUGCCGUGCUUGAGGACUGGAGAGGAGACUGGAAUUUACGGUGUAGCGGUGAAAUGCGUAGAUAUCGUAAGGAAGACCAGUGGCGAAGGCGGGUCUCUGGACAGUUCCUGACGCUGAGGCACGAAGGUCAGGGGGAGCAAACGGG